AACGAACGCUGGCGGCGCGCCUAAUACAUGCAAGUCGAACGAGAAUGUGUAGCAAUACACAUGUACAGUGGCGAACGGGUGAGGAAUACAUAGGUAACCUACCCUCGAGUGGGGGAUAACUAGCCGAAAGGUUAGCUAAUACCGCGUACGCUCCCUGGACUGCGGUUCAGGGAGGAAAGCGAUACCGUGGGUAUCGCGCUCUUGGAUGGGCUUAUGUCCUAUCAGCUUGUUGGUGAGGUAACGGCUCACCAAGGCUUCGACGGGUAGCUGGUCUGAGAGGAUGAUCAGCCACACUGGCACUGCGACACGGGCCAGACUCCUACGGGAGGCAGCAGUAAGGAAUAUUGCGCAAUGGGCGAAAGCCUGACGCAGCGACGCCGCGUGGGGGGCGAAGGUCUUCGGAUUGUAAACCCCUUUCGGGAGGGAAGAUGGAACGGGUAACCGUUCGGACGGUACCUCCAGAAGAAGCCACGGCUAACUUCGUGCCAGCAGCCGCGGUAAUACGAAGGUGGCAAGCGUUGUUCGGAUUUACUGGGCGUACAGGGAGCGUAGGCGGUUUGGUAAGCCCUCUGUGAAAUCCCCAGGCUUAACCUGGAACAGUCGGAGGGGACUGCUGAGCUAGAGGAUGGGAGAAGAGCGCGGAAUU
rnacentral:rRNA from 1 species